rnacentral:rRNA from 1 species
UAUGAUUCACCCUGAAUGCGCCGAUCUCGUCUGAUCUUGAAAGCUAAGCAGGGUUGGGCCUGGUUAGUACUUGGAAGGGAGACCUUUUCAAGAGGGCAAAUCGUGC